rnacentral:lncRNA from 1 species
CUCAGAUUUACAUCACAAAUUAGGAAGAACUUGGCUAGAAAUAGCUAAGGUUCUGCUGAGAAGAGGAUUUAACUGGGAAUGUGCUCUUGGAAUUUCUGAAUUUGAAGAAGUAUGAUUGCUGAAAGCAUACCAAGUGUUUAAAAGGUAAUAUUUGCCAACCAUAUAAAACCAGAAUUAGUUGUGGGCUAGAAAUUGAGCUAUUUGUGUGGUAGGAGACCGUUGUUUCCCUUGCUUUGAGUUGCUUAUCCUUUUUUGAUUUCUCCAGAUAUAAAACAAUAAUCAUAUUUUCCAUUGUUUAGCUCAUGGAAUGUUAGAACAGAAUAGGAUAAUGUGGGCCUAAGAUUCUUCACUUGUUUUCCAUUACUUGUAGGCUGAAAUCCAAAUUCCUUAGCAAUAUCAUAGUGGUUGAAAACAUAGGUUUUGGAAUUAGAUACAGGUUGUGAGCCCAGAUUCUGACUCUGCCAUAUACAGCCAUGUUCUUGGGCAGUUUACUUGAGCUUUCUAAGUUUCAGUUUCCUCGUCUAUGAAAUGGAGAUAAUAAUAGUUCCUUCCUCAUCGAGGUUGGUAUGAGAGUUAACCUAGGUAGUAUAAGCACAAUACAAGCACAGGGUUUGGUGCAUUUUAUGUGUUCAGUAAAUGGUAGUUGCUGGUAUCCACGUCUCCAUGGCAUAUAAGGCCUUUGCUACCUGGUCUUUUUCACUUCAUCUGCCAUCAUUAACUCCCUAAAUUCAUUCCAUUUAUCCUGAAUACACUCCUUUAUUACAACAUACCUUACUUCCUGACUUUUCUCCGCUGUGUCUUUUUGAUGUCAGAAAUGUUAUCUUAUUCAUAGGUGGAUUUUCCUUAGUUAGCACAUAGUGGAACUAUAGCCAGUUGACUCAAGAAAAUUGUGUAGAAUUAAACUAAUGUUGGGAUCGUCAUAAAUAAAUAAGGAUUGGUCAAAUAAGUAUAUAGUGAGUACAUUAAAAAAUAAAGUAAAUAAAAAUCCCUGUGUAUAUAAGACAUCUGAACCAGUGGUCAUUGGCCAAACUAAGUAUAGACCUAUUUUGUUAAAAUAAGUCAGGAAAAUUUAUAACAAAAGUUUUAAUUUCUGGCUUCUCUUGAAAAGUUUGGAGAUCUAGCAACUGAACCUCCCUUGCUGCAUAGAAAUGGUUGGAAUUCUUCAAUUAGACCCAUUCUCCAUUCAAAUAACAUAGAUGCAUCACAACAGUGUCUCUAUGUGUCUACCAGUAUAAAGUUCAUCAUUUCCUCCAGAAAACAUGAUUUGAUUAAUGCAGAAUAGGAAGAGUACUGCUCUUUACCCAUUCCCAGGUAGGUAGAGUUAGCUGAUCUACCUGAAGAAGCAAUGGCAGCCACCCACCCCACACCCCAGAAAGCCUAAUCAAAUGCUCUUAAAAAUGUUUGAUCUUGUUAAGCUUAUAUCGCCAAAACUAUGUAUAGUCUUGCUGAUUUUGGUAUUGUUGAUUUAUUCUGUGCCCUCCUGAGAAGCCCUACAGUUUGUGAGGAUGAAUUCGAGUUAUUAAUAGAGAUAGUGGCUUAUAAUAGAUGAGUUUUGUCUCUUACAGCCCCAUGACCCAGGUGCAUGUGGUUUUGGCCACAUUGAGACAGGGCCAAGGGACUAUGUGUAGUCAUGUUAGGAGGCUGCGUAGGGGAGUAUUUGAUGUGGGCAUCAGGCCAGUUUACAUGCUGAUUUUUUUUUGGGGGGGGUGUACAUUCAACUUUUGACAACUUGAAUAACUUUGUCACCUCUGUGACUAUAGGUACAUCCCAUACAUUCCCAUGCUUAGGAGAAUACCCAUAAAGAACAAAGGGAAAUGAUUUAGCAAUGAUCUAGUUAAUUUGGUAAAUGUAAACACCCAAUUGGCUAUAUAAUAUUAUGUUUUGGAACUUGAAUUGUGCACUACACUGACUAAAUUGAGCAUAAAAUUGCCAGAUCAGUUUACUCCAUGUUUUACAGAUACAGAAUAAAAGCCAGAUUAAGCAAAGAGAUAGUAUUUUCCUUUGAGCAGAGUGUGGGAAUUUGAGUUUCUUAUCAGACUUUGAAAACUGUGAAUGUUAAAUUAUACUAGGAUGGCACUUCCUGUUUUUAUUUGUCGUUGAAUUUAUUUUCUUCUUCUGAAGCCCACAGCGAGCUUUUGACUGUAUAUCCUUUAAUGCACUGAUGUGAGCAGAGAUGGGGUAGAGUUGCAGCCAGAAAAAGAUUUAAAAAUUUACUCAAGAAAAUUUUGUAUCAUUCAGCAGCUCAGGUACAGGAAUAAACAUGACUUGUCUGAGAUUUGGCAACCUCACAUUCCUCUUUCAAAAUGAAGCACAUCCAAAACACCUUCAUGAGGUGCAUACUAAUUGGCUCUUGCUGCUUGCUAGUUAUUGUAUUAUUACCUAAUCCAAUCCAAUCAGACAUUCAAAAGGAUAUCUAUUUCUAAUAGUGUGAUCUAGUUGGAUUAAGUACAGACCCUGACAUUUGGCACUCUGGUGCCACUGACUUACUUGUCAGACUCUUUGAAAUAUCAGUCAACACGACAGUGUCUGAGUUUCCAUAAAGGACAUUAUGUUAUCUGCCCCUGUGUCCAAAUAAAGGUAUUAUAAUGACUUAAAGGUAAAUUGCUAUAAAUGAAAAUAAUACAAUUCAGUGAAUAUGCUAGGAAAUCAUUGGAUGGAUAUAUAGGCAAUACAUGUAAGAGAAUAACAGAGUGACUCCAUUUUCAUCCUUGUUCUCCCAGGGACUGGUAGAGUGCCAAGCUGCCUAUUUCCCUCAUGAUUGCUGAAGGAUGAAUUUAUCCAUCAGCAGUAGUGCUUUGGUAACUACUUACUCUAACAAGGUUAAGUUACUUCAACUCUGCAGAUCUCAGACUUUUCUAUCUAUAAAAUGAUUGGGAUUAGCUUGUAAAAAACAUUUUCUUACAGGUCCAAAAUUUGACUCUUUGAUUUGAUGUAUUGUAAAACAUGGCAAAUAUAAAUAUAUAUAUAUAUAAACAUAUAUAUAAUGUUAUAUAUAUAAAUAAAUGUUUAUAUUUAAACAUAUAUAAAUAAAUGUUUAUAUUUAUAAAUAUAAAUAUUUAUAUUUAAAUAUAUAUAAAUAAAUGUUUAUUUAUAUACAUAUACUUGAUAGGAUGGUCUUUGAGGAUUAGAGUAAGAAAAUGAGCAAUGACUUAAAUAAUAAACUUAUAUAAAAUUAAAUAAUGAAAAGAAAUUUAUAAAAAAGAUAAAUAGAUGUUUUAGUGGCUGAUAAACAACAACCAUGACUGUUAGCAUAUGACUAUUGUCCUAAGUGAAAAUCUGUCCCUUUUGUGGUGUGGAGUGUGGAAAUUUUAAUGUUUGAAAGUUACCAUCAAGAAUUUUGGUGUAUCGGGGUGCCUGGGUAGCUCAGGUGCUUAAGCGUCCAACUCUUGGCUUCGGCUCAGGUCAUGAUCUCACAGUUUUGUGAGUUCAAGCCCUGCGUCUGGUUCUGCACUGGCAGUGCGAAACCUGCUUGGAAUUCUCUCUCUCUCCCUCUCUCUCUGCCCCUCCCCUGCUCACAGUGUCUGUGUCUCUCUCAAAAUAAAUAAAUAAACUAAAAAAAAAAAAUAAUAAUUUUGAUGUAUUAAAAGUUCCAGGUUGAGACAGGCUUCAGUACAUAUAGAAUUGAUUUCCUCUUAAUUCCAGGUGACCCCUUUUAUUAUGAAAUGACUACCAAAUCCUUUCUCUUAAAGAUGUUAGGGACUGGCCUGGAAGGAGUGUGAGAACUUUCCUUCCUUUAGUUCCUUUUAAGGUGCUGAAAGCCUUGCUCCUCUGCUGAGGUCUGAUUUGCCUUGGGAGCUCAAAGCUGCAGGGCCUGUUUAGCUGCUGCGUUUUACAUGUGCUGACCAAGGUUUAUAUCCCAAUUGCUUAUGUAUCAGAACACUGAAGUUGAGAAAGCACCUUUGAAAAAUUCAGUGAUAUCUGUUCCUAGAGGGAUUUAUAUUUGAUUCUUUUUCCUAUCACUCCUUCCUCUUCACUUUGUUCUCUUUUGUUUCUUCCUUUGCGUGACUCUCAUUCAUUUAUUUAUUCAUAAACACAUAUACCAAACAUGGUGUUGGAUCAUGAGAAUAGAGAGCUAAUAUAUGUUACUUACUGUCUAGGAGCUUACUGCCCAGCAUCAUGUUUUUGGGUGCAAUUUCUUUGCAAGUUUGGUCCUUUGCUAUUUAUAGCUUCUGGGAAUGUACUUACAUUUUGAAUGCUUAGUUUUUGACUCUUAGCCUUAUAUAAUUCAUUCCUAAAUUCUGUUAUGUAUCUGUAAUAGUCAGCCCGUUGAAGGAAGCUGUUUUUAGCCAUCAUUUAGUGGAUAUGAACACUUAAUAUUAGUUUUCUUUCAUUUUGCAAGUAUCUCUUUCAAUAAAAAAUUCAAAACUAGGAUUUUUGCAGCUAUAAGCUUUCUGGUAACCAGGUUCUAAUCUUAUUUGAUGACUAUACUUGGGGGUGAAUGUGGAAAGGAAAAUUUUUAUUUUAUUCCUUGCAAGCUUUCAGAGUUGAGGAUGGAGAAGCUGCCUAUUGUUGUAGCUAAACCUAAGGAGAGGGAAAUAUUAGGAAAACACCAUUGUAAGGAGCCAAGGAGUCAGUUUGUCUGAGACAGAAGAAUUUUGGUUAAUCAGACCUUAUUGAAAUUUGACUUAGAUAGUGCUUUUCCAAAACAAUGAAAGUGAAUGUUUCGAUUCUUUAUUGCUUCUUAACUUCCCUUUUCCCCCAAACUUGGUGGCUUUAAACAACAAUCAUUAUAUUAUAUCUCCUCAUUCUCUGGGCUGAAUGGGUUCAGCUGAGUCCUUUUGCUUCACAUGAGGUCACUUGGGGAUACGGCUAUCUUGGAACUCACCUGGGCCAGAGCAUGCAAGAUGGCCAAGAUGGUAGUGGACAGGUAAUAUUGGUCAUCAGCAGGUAGCUCAGUGGGGGCAUUCUGGUGGGGGGGUGGUCUUGAUUCUCCUCAAGGCCUUCCACGCUUCUCCUUAUGGCUACUUAGGCUUCCCUGUAGCAUGGCUGCUGGAUUUCACAAGGCAGGAAGUGGACGCUGCCAGUCCUCUUAAAGGCUAGCCUAAAAGGUGCACGACUUUACUUUCCCUGCAUUCUAUUGGUCGGGAGCAGUCACAGGCCCCACUUCUAUUCAAAGGGGGUGAGGAAAGAAGACUUCACUUCUCAGUGGAGGUAGUGACAAAGAUGUUGCAGUUAUCUUUAAUCUGCUAUAGUAAAUCUGUUUAUAGCUAAUCAAUGUAAAAGCUGACAUUUGAAAAAAAGACAGGGGCAUAAAAAGGCCUGGGAAGUUCAAAAUCUGCCCGAAUGCAUAUUUUAUAAAGGGGAAGAAUAGCUGCAUGUUGAUCACAUUCAGGUGGACUCAAGGAAAGGUUACCUUAGACCGUUCAUUGUUUCUCAAACUUAAGUGUUCACCAGAAUUACUAGGAGGGUAUGUUAAAAUAUAGAUUGCUGGGCCACACUCCCAGAAUUUCUAAUUAAACAGGCCUGGGGUGGGGCCAGGGGAUUGACAUUUCUAAGAAACUCCCAGAUGAUGCUGAUGUUAAUGGUCUUGGGAACCACACUUUGAGAACCACUGCCUUAGACUGUGCAGGGCCAGAAAGAGUGAGGAAAAGAGGAAAAAAGAAGGAAAUAUAUUAUUUUCCCUCUAAUAGUAUUUUAAAAAGCCUAGUGUCAAUAGUAUAAAUUUAAGUUUCAAGCCACCAUGAACAUAUUAACAUAGGGCCUUUAUGUUUGUCAGGGUAAUUCAUCCUAGUGCUACAACAUGAGCCCCUGAAAUCUCAUUAGCUUAACACAACAAAGGUUUAUUCUUACUUAUGUCAAGUCCAAUAUGAGUCAGUAGCGUUCCUCUGUAGGGGCUACAGCAUCUGGAACAUGUACCUCUUUGCUGCUGAUGCAGGGGAAGAGAGAAGAGAAGAGAUAAGCAAGCCACAUCAGCUCUUAACUGCCCCAGCCUAGAAGUGACUCAGGUUCCCUUCUCUCAGAGUCCAUUGGUCUGAACUAGUUGCAUGACCCCCACCUAACUGCAAAUUAGGCGGGGAAAUGUAGGGUGGGAGGACACAGUUAGCUAGUAAGCCCUAACUAUCUCCACUAUGGCACCCGACUAACUUUAGUGUCCACGUUCUGUGGUUAGGCAGAGCUGGACGUAGAAAGAAUCCCAUGAGCCCUCAAACCCAUAUGUACACCUCUGCUUAUAGUUAUUCAAACAUUAUUAUUUCUUUAAAAAAUAUUCACUCUCUUCUAUGAGUAAUUUUUUGUUUUAUUCCUAAUUGUCUGUGUGGCAUUAAACACAGUGUCUAAUGAUAUCAUUAUCUCAAAAGAAAAAUUUAUUGUGAAAACUUCAUCUCCUGUUACAAAUAAUUUGGUAAACCCUCGUUAUUAGGCCAUUUUAGUUGUUCUAUUAAGGACUGAUUAAAUAAGAUGGCAUCUCUUUUUCUUUGCCAAUUUUGCCAAGCACAUAAUUCUUUCGGUAAUUAUUAAAGCAAUUAUUUAUGGUGCUGGAUUCCAUUGGCAAUAAGUAGUAUCAGGACUUUGAAAAUCAUCUUGUGGGCAUUUUUGAAAAUAAAGGAACGGAAUUUAUUUUUAUCCCAUCUGUACAAAUCCCAUUGUUAGCUGAGUAUUAGGUAAUAUAGUAAAGAAUAUUGUCAGUGAGAAACAAAGCACAAUUUAGGUUUUAUUCAUCGGAUUGCCUCUUACUGUUGUUGCCUACCUUUGUCUGGAAUUCUUUUUUUGUGGUGCUCCCACAAAAACUGAUAGUGGCGAACAGGAUUCCCAGCCACAUAGAGACUCUUUGGUCAUGGGAAAGCAGUUCCUUUUUCCCUCUGCUGAUGAGAAGACUUUAUUUGGCAGAUGAAACCUUUGGAACAUGCUACACACCCAGUCUCACUAGCUUUGAGGCCAAUUUCCAUUUCAAUUUUGUUCCUUAAAUUCUACAGGUUUAACAUCUCUGAUAUGUUGAAACAAUAUGGCGAAGAGGUGGUUUUUUGCAGGAACGUGCUUGACUGGUAGCAGUCACCUGUCUUUUUUGGUAAACUAAAAUUCUAUAUGUCAUGAUUAUUAGAAAGCAUCUGAGUUAUGUACUUUGAUGGCUUUGUUACAUAGUCUCAGUUUAUACUUAGAAUCUUUAUAGGAUUUCCCCCUGCACACACACAAUUAUUUAGUGGCUACAAGACCGGCAGCUCCUUUAAAUUAACAAGUGACAGAUCAGCAUUAUUCUUCCCAAUGAGCAGAUGAAGAAACUGAGACAAUUUUGUGACUAGUCCAAAGCGUCCUGGUGAGUCAGAGGCAGAGUUAGGAUUAAACUUUAGUUUAAAUGCUCAGGCCAAAGCAGCUUGUGUAACUUAGAAGUUAACUUUUUGAAGGUAGAGACACUGUCUUAUGUUAAUAUUUGCUAGAGCAAUAGCAUGAUGUGCAGUUAUAAAAAUUGGAGACUAUUUAAAUUAAUUCAUCUGAUCCAUUUCAGAAGUAUAGCUGCAAUUCCAUACCUGGGAUAGGUGAAGACAGGCUUACGUAUACACAGAAAGCAGCAUAAUGAAUUGGAAAAAGCAAGACACUACAGUUGGAAGAAGCAGAUUUCAGUGAGAGCUGUGUGAUCUUGGUCAUGUCACAUAACCUCUCAUGAAGUUUACAAGUGUCUUCACUUGUAAAAUGUGAGGCAUCAGAACAGAUGUUUCCUAAGGUCUCAAUUUCUAUUGCAGAAUUUUGAAACUGUUAUAUUUGUGUGAGGAGGGAUCCUCCUUAGAUAAAUCUUAAUAUAACCAAAAUUAGCAUUCUUUUAAAGAUUUAUUUUUAAAUGCAAUUGCUAUGAGAGACAGUUUCUUUGGUUCUGACUUGGCAUCUGGGAUCUUUUCUCUGACAUCAGCUCUGCUGAAGAUCAUAGAAGGGGAUUAUGGAAUAAGGCUUGGCUAUGAGGAGGCUGAGUGUGCAAAGCAGGAACAAACUUGUAAGGCCAAGCUCUCUCUACAACCCUGCUUCCCAUUCUUCCCAGAGCUGGAGGCUGAACUCUAAACCACCUCCUCCUACCCACUACCAUACUGAUGGAUCGAAGAAAUGUUUGCAUAGGGAGGGUGUUUGCUAGGCUAUUUUGGUAGUAGCCCUCGUGUACACCCUCACCCCCAUGUACUUGGUUGGAUUCCCAUGGAAUGAAUCUUGAGAAAUUUGCUUUUUCAGCUUCUUUGUCUCCUCCCACCCUUUUACCUAGUGACAAGAAGGAUGUGGCAUCAAUCUCAAUAAAAUACGAUGGUGCCUCCCCAUUUCUCCACCUGUCCUUGUGGAAGAGAGCUUGGUAAAAAUUCAUCAAGGGCAGAGUAUGGGGGAUUGGAGUCCCGUGGAAGAGUUUUCUCUGCAGAGUUCAGGCUUAAUUCUGAAUAUCACUGACCCAGGGGCCAGUUUCACAUCCUGCAAAAAAGCUCUGGAAGAAUGUGUCAGCAGAACUGGCAUUGCAUGUCUAGACAAAGAAUUGAUAUUAGCAUCAUCAGCCAGCAUCCAAUCUGUUAACUCUUGUGUAAGCAUUUGUUGUCUGUGCCUCAGGCAUUUUUUGGCUUAAAAUGAAAACUGUUGGUCUAAGAUUUAGACUUUGGUCUUUCAGGAGGUUCUUUCAAGGCAGGGAAUCACAAGUUAAUUUAUUUCAAGAUCAGAUAUUUUAUUGAUUAAUAUGAAAGUCUCUUCAGUUUUUUUUUUUAUUUUUCACUAAAGUGGUAUCUGCGUCAUCACCACUUUUAUUUUAUUAUAUAUUCAUUGUUUCAAGAAACAUUUAUUAAGCACCCGCUGGGAACCUACACAGGGAAUUCUCCUAGGCUGCUCUGAUAGAUACAUUGAUGAAUAAAACAGCUAAGGUCCCUGCCCUUCUGGAGUUCAUAGCUUAAUGGGGGAGAAUGACCACAAACAAGAGUAACAGGAUAUUUCUGUCUCAGUUUCGGCUGAGGCACCAAAGAACAAAGCAGUAGGUGUCAGGUUCUUUGGCUUUUUAAAUUGAAGUGCUAGACUACCUCUCCAGGAUUUGAAAAAAGGGUACCUCAGAACUGGUUUUGCCAGCCUGAACCCAUCAUCCACCUUCAGGGCAUUGAAGAGAAGGCUUAGUAUGCUGAGAGAUUCAAGUGCUGUUUGAAUUUCUUUAAGAAGAGUUGUCACUGUGCUGUGUAGUUGUCCUCACUUCAGGAAGGGGCUGACUUCAAACCUAGUUGGGAGGAGGCUUCUAGGGAACUAGUCUGAGAGAGCACUGUUUUGUGUUUCCUGGAGUUUUGGGACUUAAGGACUGAUAUCUGAGGCAUUUCAAAGCAGAAGCCAUAGUGAGGGUAGGAAUGGGAUAUGGUAGGGCAGCAGAGAGAAAAAAAAAAUGGCUCUGUUGGGAUUGGCCAGUACUUUUAAAGUUGACUGGGUGAGAACUGACUGAGACAAGACCAGACGGGGUCAUCUUGAAGGUAACUUGACAAAGAGGACCAUAAGGAGGGAUGAGGUGACUGGAAAAAGAUAGGCCUCUGGAAUGGGGCAGCUCAAUGGGAAUGAGGGGGAAAUUCUUAUGGGACCAACCAGAAAGAGUCUUGCCUAGCAAGGCAAUUGUAGGUAAGACAUCCAUUAUGAUGGGAGCCUCUGAAAACUUCACAAAGAGCAGGAUUGGGAAGCUUGGGUGUUUGCCAAGUACAGAGGUAUCAACUCCAGAUUACAGCCAAAUCUGACAAGUUAGAUCUGUCUUCCCCUAUCCUCCUCCAUCCCCUGCCCCAACUUGAAAGGGCCCAGGAUGGGAAGAGGUAAAGUGAGAAAGCUGACAAAGGCUGGCUUCCUCAACAAGCUGUCAAGCCUGAAGGAUAUGAGCUGGCAGAGGGGAGAAAUUGUAGAUGAGCUUAGGUUUAGAGUCUUGAUAUUAAAGUCACCCAAGAAAACAGACUAUUUGUUUAUGACUGGGAAGUGACUAGGACAGUUAUGGGACUGGUGGGAUAUUUUCAUUAUCUUCCCAACAGGGAAGAACAUAGGAAGUUGAGCAGAUUUGAAGGCUAAAUCUCCCAGAAGUGGGAGAGGAUAAAUCACUUUGGGUUCAUGACAUACUGAUCCAGGUUCCUUUAACCUGGAUAUGCUAGUAAAUGAGUAAAAUAUAAAAUAUGGGGGGCACCUAGAUGGCUCAAUCCAUUGAGCAUCUGACUUGAUUUCCCUUCAGGUCAUGAUACCAGAGUUGUGGGAUUGAGCCCAGCAUUGGGCUCCUCACUGAGCGUGGAGCCUACUUGGGAUUCUCUCUUUCCCUCUGCCCCUCUCCCCUGCUUGCAUGCUCUCUGUCUGUCUCUCAAACAUAUAUAUAAACAUAUAUAUAUAUAUAUAUAUAUAUAUGUAUAUAUACACACACACAUAUAUAAACAUAUACAAAACAUAUAUAUGAAACUAUGUUCUUAAAGAAUAGUGGGGAGGGGUGGUAGUGGUAGAGAGCCUAGUUAGAUAGCUCAACAAGGAUGACCUUUCAGGAAAUGGUAAUGAAUCAGAAAGAGUCAGUUGUGCUGUGUUUCAUGGGAAGUGGGGGAGGGAGGUGCCUGCAGAGUCCAGGGGAGAGGGAACAGCAUGUGUAAAGUUUGUGUGGAAUCCUAUGAUCAGUGUCCAGGAAACAUUUGGGUGGAUUCAACCAAAGGUAUUUUCAUUCUUUGUGCAGGGCACUGAGUUUAAUGCCACAUCUACAAACAGGAUAAAUACCUCCUUCACUGAGGUUUAAGACUUAAUUGAUCAUUGUUGGGGAAAAAAACACUUUGAUAAAAGGUAAGAUCUAAAAUCUGUAAAGAGUGAGGAAGCUCCUGUCCUCUGCCCUCAAGCUCUUGAUGGUCCCAGAUAACAUUCUCCUUUUCUGAGAAUUUCCAUUACAAGCAGUCUCUUUUAGUGUGCUGGUGACCUUUUAUGGAGUGUAGGGACAGCUGGGGAAAGAAACACAGAGCUCCCCUGACAGUCCCUGGAGGGAGGGAAAGCCUUUUAACUUGUUCUAGGGCUUUGUUUAUGUGUAAGGCUGAGAAAAGGCUACUUGUAAGCAUGCCAUCCAAAAUAAUAGAGGUAAGAUGUCAACAAUUCUGUCACUAGGGGCAGAUAUACCUUCUCAAUUUAACACAAUGAUUGUAAAUGUGGUUUGCCUUUGCUGGCAAAAGUUUGUUCACUCAGGAAAUAAAAAGAGCAGAAAGAUGAACAGGCAGCCUAGAGAAGGCCUGGGGAGAGUCUCUGCCGGAAUGUGGACUCAACCAUUUAAAGCUGAGAUCCCAAGCAGACGGUGACCUCAGCGAGUGCCUGUGCUGAUGGCACUUUCCCAGCCUUGCUGGCGUUCCAGCUGGCACUCGGUCUCCACCAGGAGAUGGAACAUUUUGGGGCAGGGAGUAAGGCACCCAGGCUUGUGGGGACUCCCAGGAAGUGAGGUUUAACCGACAGCCCCUGCUUUCAAGGAACUAUCUGAUUGGGAGACAGAAUCUACAUUGCCGACACAUCUAGUAGUCAUAUGUACAGAGUCAACCCAAGGAGGUAAAGAGAGAGGUAAAAUAUGCUCCCUGUGAAGACCAGGAAAGGACAGUACAAUGUAAAUUGCCAGAGUUUUCCAUGUCUCUAGUUUUUAUAUCUAUUCACCAUCCAAGCAACGUGCACUCAGCAGAGAAACUGACAAAUGCAGACAGUGUAAGAAAUCAGCUAUUUUUUUUAUUAAAGAAUAUUUUGUAAAUAGAGAAGUGACUUCUGAAUUUCAGAGGAAUUUGUGCAGUCUUUCCCCCUUUCCCAUUGGUGGGGAGAAAUAAUUUGCCUCAUUAGAAUCUGUGCCCCUUAGACAGGAGCCAGUCCCCAAACAGGCUGCCAGGUACACAGAAGGUCCUCGAUGAAUGUAUUUAAAACUCAAAGUUCUGUGAUUUAGGGAUCUAAGAUUUUCAUUGUUUUGUUUUUUUUUUUUAGAAAUUUGAGUUAGAGUGCUUUGUAACUAGUCUCUCUUGCCAGUAUUCUAUAUGAAUAUUAGACCUUAAGAUAUUCUUUUUUUGAUAUUCCUUAUUUUACCAAUACAAUGUAUUUCAGAAAUCAGUUUUCAGGUUGAUAUUGUGGUCUUUAGGCAUAUUUUUUCCUUGAUGACACAUUAUAGUAGGAAGAACAUGAACAUUUGAGUCAGGUAAACAUUUGAAUACCAGCCUUAUAACCCUUAUAUCUGGAGUAUGAGGUGAGGCCCUAGAUUCCCAUUUUUGAGGCUUCACUCUGACCCUCUGACAGACACAGCCCUCCUCAUAGAGAGAGAAUUCUGAGUGGCCAAGAACACAUGCCGACCUGAAACCACUGUCCCUGUGCUCUCAGAAUUCUGGAUUCCUUGCCCAGGCUACUGGGAACACACUGGGGCCAGAGAUAAGCUGGCAGGAUGGUCCAAAUUUUCACAGAAUGCGGCCUGAAGGGGAUGGAUGUAGGGUGGGAAGAAAGACAGGGUAGAGCACUGGGCUGGGGAACUAUCAUUUUUACUCUUAUGUUGGGUCCUGAAAAUGUCACGGGAGGGUCCUUUAUAUCUGACUCUCAGUCACAUUGCUUGCAAACAACUUGACCUUUCUGAACCUCAUUUACCUCCUUCAAAAAUAUGUGUAAGAAUUUCUUCUUACAGAUUUUAAGGGUCCAAUUAGAUUAUUAUAUAAACAUAAUUGUAUGAAACAUAGUAAAGCAAAAAUUCCUAUCACUGUUAUCAAUCUUGGCUAGAGUUUCAGGCUAAACUGAAAAUGUCUACUAAAGCUGCCAUACAACUGAAAUGCAUUACUAAUUACAUUAUUAGCACUAACAGUAUUUCAGGUAUAUGGUCUCUUAUCUGAAACCUUUGGGCCAGAUGUUUCCCGAAUUAAUACCUUUUUUUGGAUGGUAGAAAUACGUAUAUAAACCAUAUAUUGCAUUACACUGGGAAUAUUUGAGGCAGGGCCAUGUUAUUAAAUACAUUGGCAUUUUCAUAGCAAAACCUGUUGAUCACUAUGUGAUAAGUAAAAAGCAUACAUAGCCUAAUGUUAAUCCAGGUCAGUUUAUUUUUUUUAAUACAUUUUUAUAUUUUGGAACAGUUUUAGAUUUACAGAAAGAUUGCAAAGAUAGUACACAGUUCCCCUAUGUUUUAAAUAUUGUUAUCAUCUUACUUUACUAUGGCAUAUUUGCCAUAAUUAAUGAGCCAAGACUGAUACAUUAUUAUUAACUAAAGUUCAUACUUGAUUCAUGUUUUCUUAAUUUUUACCUAAUAUCCUUUUUCUGUUCCUUGAUUCCAUCUAGGCCACUCCAUUACAUUUUGUUGUUAUGUCGGAUAUUUUAUUGACUAUGCUUCAGUUGGGAUUUGUCUGAUGGUUUAAGAUUAGACUGGGGUUAUGGGUUUGACCACAGAGGGAGAGUGCUAUUCUCAUCACAUCUGAAGGGUACAUACUAUUAGCAUGACUUAUCACUGUUAAUGUUGACCUUGAUUACCUGGCUGUGGUAUUUUUUGUCAUAUUUUCGCACUAUAAAGCUACACAUUUUUCUUCCCUUUUCAUUCUGUGUUUUUGGAAGGGAAGUCACUAUGCAUGACCUAUACUUAAGGAGUGGGGGAUUAUGUUCCCUGUCCUAGAGGGUGGAGCAUCUGAAUUAUUUAGUAUUCUUCUGCAUGGGAGUUUGAUCUCUUCUUCUCCGUAGUUCAGAUUUUGCUGCCGAUGGGUUAAAGAAUUUUUAAGUUUUAUUUUCAUUUUUUAGUAUUGUGGAUAGGGAUUAUGGACAAGAACCAACAUUCUAUCUAAAUUUAAAAAGUCUUACAACAUGUGUGUACCCACUCUUGGUUACAGAAGAGAUGAGUGAUGUUUCCUUAUAAAAGAAUGAUAGGGGGAGCCUAGGUGGCUCAGUUGGUUAAGCAUCCAGCUUCGGCUUACAUCAUGAUCUUGGGGUAUCUGAGUUCAAGCCCUACUUCAGGCUCUGUGCUGACAGCUCAGAGCCUGGAGUCUGCUUCACAUUCUGUAUCUCCCUCUCUCUCUGUCCUUCCCCCACUCGUGCACGCUCUCUCUCUCUCAAAAAAAUGAAUAAACAUUAAAAAAAAUGAAUGAUAGGAACUAGUAGGAAGGGAUAAUGGUGGCCUGUUUCCCAGAGCAAUGGAUGGUCCCUGCCCAUCACACAUGAGAGGCUGUACAGUUUUAAAUAAGUAGUAUGUUUGGUUGGUUCCAUACCUUCAUAACAAAUUCAGCUUGAAGGGAAAUAAUGGGAAAUAUGGUCAUGGCCAAGUUAAGAAUAUAAAUUUUAAAAAAGAAGACAAAUUUUCCCUUUCAUGUUUUGUCAGACCUUUUUUCACAUAAAUUUUCAUAAAAACUCGUGGGAUUAUUAGGGACUGGGAGAGGUGUGUAUAGAAGGAAAUCUCGGUGGCUCUUGCCUUGGGCAUGCUGUGUCACUUCCCACAGUCAAUGAGGGGCCCGGUCCACUCUCCUACAUUCCUGCCUGCCUCUUAGAUGCCCCAUACCUUCCCCCAGGCAGCUUUCUGUGACACAUAGUCAGGUUAAAUCCUCUUUCUCCUCAACUCUUCUCUCCCACCUUCCCCUCAACCUGGGUAAGACCCUCUUAGGACUUUUCUUGUUCAAACCUAAGUCCCCUGUGGCCUCUGUGUGGCUUCAGAAACUUCUACCAGCAGUAACAUUCAAAGUAUCUGACACUCUAUAACCUAGAGCUGCAACUGGGCCUUGUGCCAGGCACAAUCCCUCUGGGUGCAGAGAGUCCAGUGCGAGAGAAAUCACUGAAGGAUAUGUGAGGGGGUAUGGAACCACAGCUAUUUAUCAACUCGAAGGGGAGUUUUUGAUCUUUUAACAUACAGGGAAAGUAAAUAUUAUUAAAUAUAUUUUGUAUCAUGUUGGUCAUUGGAGCUUUCCAGAAUUAAGCCCUAGCCUCCAGUUACUGAUUACUGACAUAUUGCUUACACAUUCUCAGGGUUGUCUUUCCAACUUGUGGAAUCACUCACUGAAGCUCCAAGAAGGCAUCCAUUUAAUUAGGGCAACCGUGUGACCAAAUAUUAACACGUUGCUGUUUGAACUUACCCCUGAAGCCUAAUAGCCUAUGUCAUUAUGGUCUUAGGACUAACUCAUGAGAUGAUAUGACGCCUGGGCAGCACCAGAAUUGUUAAAAAUGGACUGACAGAAAUGUAUCUGUAGUGACUCUUUUCCUACUUCAGCCUUCAAAGGAACACAGGUCAGGAAAUUUAUUUUCUAUUGAUUUCACUUGAUCUCUCUCCAGCCUGUGAUUUCAUUGCCUAUCAUCACAUUCAUUUCUUUAGUAUACUGUCUCUUCCACCUAAUUUAGAGAAAUGUGUGGAUGUCUUGAAAAUGGUACAAACUUCUGAAGAAAAAAAAAUAGUUAUAUGUAAUUUGGAUGAUGAAUAAACUUCAAAUAACUCUCUGAAUUUGAGCUCCAAUUAGGGAGAAAUAAUUAAGCAUGUUGGCAUUGAAGAAAUAAAAUAUUUUAAACCACUCUCUGAUCUUGGUUGUGUCUCUUUUUCAAAGUCCAAAAAUUAAACAUAAUGAUGGACUAGAUAAAGAAGUUUAUUAUUCACCAUCUCGUUAUGCUACUUGAUGAAUUGACUGGAAUUUCUCAGACACCUUCUUUUCAAAGGCCCCCCUGGGGGGCACAAUCCCCUCAAACCUAGUUUCUGUGAUAUUUUUAAACUGCAUGUCACUGGGUUUAGUUGCCAAAGCAAAGGCCUUAAACUUGUUAAAAUUCCUCUACCCAUAAAAAUUAUUUGAAUACUGUAAGUCUUACAAUAUAUUUUAUACUUUUACUAGUAAAAUAAUAUGUAUGUUGUAAAACUGUUUAUGCAGUUCAUUUGGAAAUUUUUUGUGUACUGCCUUGUGAAAAAUCUUCUACUGUAUCUUGAAUUGUUUUUUGUUGAUUUCAUUAGAUUAUGUUCACACCCCCUCCUUUGAAUGGUUUGAAAAAAACUAUUAAGUUCCAAAAUUAAGACAUAUUAUUUUCAAUUUAUAACAGAACAUUUCGUUUAACUGUUUCUUGGACCAGAAAGACCUGGAAUCUUGUCUGGUUUUGCCCUAUCUGUGUGAUCAGCAGCAAGCCACUUAACUUCCAUGGGUCAUGAUUAUCUCAUCUGUAAAGGAAGGGCUUGGACUAGAUAAUUUCUAAGAUUGCUCCAGCUUUAUAAUUUGGAUGAUAGGAUUUGAUCUGGCAAAUCUCCCAGAAGGAUAUUCUCUGAGUUUGAGAAGGCUGUCCUAAUUUGACCAUGGAUGUUUUGAAUUUGGAAAAACCUCUUUGAAAACUCCCAAAAGACAUACUCCCAAAAGCAUACUCACUGGCUCUAGAGGCCUGAUGUCCUAAACCGUCCUUCUGUUACACCACUCAGACAGCAGGUCGGGGUGCCACGGAUGCCACACUCACAGCAUCAUGGCAGCAGGGAGCUGGCUACACACAAGAAGCAUGAAACUGCCAGCAAAAGCAUUGUUCAUAAAGAGAACUUCAGCUGAGAGCUGAGUUCAAAAAUUUUCAGCCCAAUACACCAGCAGUUGGCUUUCUCACUUUUCUUGGUUGUGUUAUGUUAGCAUUUUUUUACUUUCUGAGCCUUUGUGUGCAAGCCAUGGUGUUUACAGAAAUAGAUGCAUAAAAAAUACAAAUCAAAAUGUCAUAUCCUGUAAACAUAAUAUAAGCUGAUUAUUUUAAAUGUUUUCUUUACUCAAGCAGGUGGAUUUAGGGCAUGACAGCAAUAAUAACCAUUCAUCUAAAGAACAGAUUUUGAUCAAGGAAGUCUCCAAUUGGUUCCAUAUAUAAUCUUUACUCUUAAUUUUCCCAGGGCAAAAAUUGCACAAAAGAAACAAACUGCAGCUCUUGAAAUAUAAUACCAGUGGAAAAACAAACAAACAAGCAAAAACCAAAUAAAAUCUCGAGACAAAAACUGGCCUAACCAUGACAACUAGAACUUAAAUAAGAUCUUGCCACACCUUUGCAGCCACCCAUAUCCAGUCUGUAUCCUGGAAAGACUUAUGACUAACCAAAGAGACGGGAGACCAUGAAAAGAGUCAGUCAUGGAUUGGUAAGCACAGAUUGAUCCAGGGAAGACUUACAGUGAAUUUUAUUUCAAUGCCUUUUAUUGUUUUUUUAUCAUACAAUCUGUGUCUGUCAGCAACAGCCUUUGACUGCUUCUUUUGCCGAUCUGAAAUGCUAGGAGGAUCCUUGUUUAACCUGUUUUUAAUAACUGCAUCUCUAUGCCACCCUCACCAUCAUUUCAUUUGCUCUCAGGACCAGAGGUCUUUACUCACAUUAUGUUUAAGGAUCUAUUAUAAUAUGAUUAAGGGGGAUGGGUGGUAAUUAUACAGGAAAUGAAAAAUCAAGAAUCUUAUGUUUCUGUCCUGGGUAAGGACUGUAAAUUACAGUUCUGCCACAGCGGCCUUCUCUCCCAUAGGGUUACUGUUAUGAGAACACUGGUUACAGCACAUUUGACGAUUUAUGGUUUAUAUUUAUCAUAUGAAUGUACAGUAAGCACUGACAUCUGAUAUGUAAGCAGAAGUAGAUGCUGCAGUUAAUCACAAGAGAUUUCCUAUGAAAGAUUGAUAAAUGUGUAUUUCAUGAAAAUGAUUGUCAGCACUACUUUAAGUAGAUAAUGCUGCCCUUAGUGAGGAGAAUGUAGAAUAAAUGGCAGUUGUUUUUAUUUCAUGCCACAGUCUGUGUGUUGAAAGUUAGGUUAAUUACCCUGAUUAUAUGAUUAAUGCUUAGAUUUAGUAGCACUCAUAAUUUUGCAUUUUGUGACCUUCAGUUGUUCAAGCCAGCUGUUUUGCUUGCCAGGUGUGCUCAAACUGGCAAAAGUCUAGGACCCAGCUAAAGUGUGAUGUGGACUUACCUUUAGACUUAAAAAGAAAAAAAUUAAAUCAUGAGAUUCCACUGUGGUGAAUAUACUGUAAUUUUUUUAAAAUGCUAAUGAAAUCCCCACAACAUGUUCAGAGCUAAACAGCAGAGAGGAUGUGGACCAUGCUUAUUCUUUACAGUCUAGGUACUUGGGAGACCCUUUGCGUUAGCACCUUCUGCUGUGUGCCUUCCUCUCUCCCUACCUGGGGAGGCUGGUGUAGGUAGGGCUAACCUUACCUGUGGUGACAGUAGGUAGCCUCCUUUCUAAUGCUACUUUCCUUCUAUUAAUUUGUCCUUAUUAAACUCUUAUCUACCAAUUGCUUGGUAGGUAGACAGAUAGAUCGAUAGAUAGAUGUAUGUAUAAUUUACUCAAGUGAUAAAAUGUAUUGAGUACAUUUGUGUACAAGCUAUGUAGAAUAUAGAAAAAGUAAAUAUAUCAGUCCUUUGCUCACAGAGAUGUGUGGGAGAUGAGACAUAGUCAUAUAUAAAUAUAAUAUAAGGUAUAGAGUGUCAACUGCCAUAAAAAAGGAAAGAGCUGAAGUACUCUUUCCUAUGGAUUAAAAUGAAGCUAUAUUCAGGGUACAACCUCAUUUUGGCUCCAGUCUGGACAACUGAUCUGGCUAGCCCAUCAUCUAGCAGAAUCUAAAACAGUAGAACCCAUGAGGAGUAAGAUUUGCUGGAGGAAGCAUUACAAGAUAAGAUCAGGAAGAUGGUUGACUCACCGAGUUCUGUUUUGUUCUGUGCAAUGGGGGCACAGAAGAGAACAGACAGACAUGGUCUCCCACAGUCUGGAAGUAGUUUUAAUGAAGAACAUGAUCAACCAGAAAGCAGAAGGAGGGUGUGUAGAAGAAAUAGACAAAACAAACAAAGAAGCAAACAAAUGGUACCUGGUUGCAGUCCUGUCUUGGGUUGGCCAAGAAUGUGAAUAAAUGUUAUAUGCCUGGAUCAAGUAUUUUCCAUUUUUCUCUCUCUUUUUGCACUGAGUCUGUGAGUUAGGAAGAAGUACCAGGUGUUGUAGUGGGACAUAGAUCCUGGAAUGGUCCAGGACUGACAUGAGGAAGGCUAAGGGAGCCUUGGUGAGACAUGAAAAUUGGGAAUUCGGAGAAGGGAUGUACACAUGGUUUGAUACUGAAGUUACUGCCAUUUAAUGGUUAUAUUUGUAAAUAUCUUGAUUUUGAGAAGAUUAGAAGUGGCUGAGGAGAAAUGAAAGGCUCUGAGAGUGGUCAGGCAAGUGGGUGAUAGGAGAGGAGAAAGUGUGAGUAGAAAUCUGACAACUCAGCAGAUUCGUCAGUCUUUUUUCCCACUAGGUAAAGAAACAUAGUCUUUGGGUUGGUGGUAAGGGAAGACAGAAGAAAUGGAGAAAAAAGGUAGAGCAGAAACCUGAGCCACAGCUGGAUUGAGGGCCCGUUCACUGGUGAGAAUGUGUGUGACAGGGGUGGGAGGGGAGGUGCGAGGGUAGAGAUGGACUAAGUCUAUAUGGAAAUAUACUAAGAAUGUUAAAGAGUCAUAUAAUGUAAGAAUCAAUUGUAUGUAUUGUUUCCAUUUAUGUUUCACGUCUUCCCUCCAGUCCUGCUUCCCUUCCUUCCUUCCAUCCCCUUUCUUUUUCUUUUUUUAAGUGCUGAUUAGGGUAUAUAAGUUUUUCUUUUUCCCUUGCUAAGUAAAUGCCCAUCUACCCCGUGGUGUGCUGCCAAGGAAAUAAAUUCAUGUGUAUGUACAUACAUUUAUUAUAAAGUCUUCUGGUAUAUAUAAAAGAUUUGUUACAAAUAACAAAGUAUAAAUAUUCUUUAUUGUAAAUUUCAUAUUAGUCAGUUGAUUCUUACGGACUGCUUUUAUUGAUUUUUAGUAUUCUAGUAUUCUUAGUAUUCUUAGCCAACCUAUGGUUGCAACUGAUGAAAGAACAUAGUCUUGACAUGAACAUCACUUGUAUUUUCAUGUGAGCUAACAGAUAAAACAAAGAUGACUCAGCAAAGACCUGCGUCAUAAUUUCAGUUCAUCUAUGGCAUGAAUGGAUGCUGAAGUAGCUAAUAAUUUUUGAAUACUGUAAGAACAUUUCCUGAAGCUUUUUGGGUUUUUUUGUUUGUUUUUAGUUACUCAUAAAGAUGACACCUUUUUGAUUUAAUCUACAUUCUUCACAUUUUCUCACUUUCAUUAUUCAUUAACAUUCUCAUCACUUUAUUAAAUCUAGAAAAUUAACAAAACAAUCAAUCAAGCCCUGACUGGUAGCUUUUGUCAAUUUCCAUGGUAUAAAUACUUAAGCAUGGUGUCAACGACAUACGCAAUUGGAGAGAAAAGUGCAGCAGCACCCCAUUACACAAUAUUUUCUCCAUUCAGAUACAGUAGAUGUAAAUAACCCCAAGAGCAGGGAUAACAAUAAAUGUAGUAAAAUAAUUAAGAAAAUGAUGAUUUUUGAAUUUUUUAAGAUUUAUUGUAAUAUAUGUUUGAGAAUUCAUUAUGUUUUUUUUAAUGAAUUUAGUUGUAAAUUUCUAUGAUUUAGUUUUUAAUAAUGGCAGUGUUUCACAAAUUAUUUGAGAAAUUCUUGAAAAUUCAACAAUCAGCUCUCUUGGGCCAGAAUGAGUCUCCUUUUGCACAGCAGUGGGUCUGUCCAUCCUUCUAGCAGUGUGUCCUCCAGGUCAUGUCUCAAUUUCUGUGUCCUAGGACAGCUCUCUGCUUUGACAGGCUAUUCAGGAGCCACCAAAGCAAAUGACUUAAGUGUUCCAUACAAAUAUCUUCUUUUAGAAGGGAAAGCUUCUGAGUUGUAUCUUAAAAUGAUGGAAUUUAUAAUUAUUUUCAUUUUCAAAAAGUUUGUUGAAUACUUAACUGUAGAUAGUUUAACUGCAGAGUAACAUUGGCACACAUGGGGUUGAUUUAAAUAGUGUAGACAAGAAGGUAGAUCAUGCAAGUCCCACACUUUUUGUCCUCCUCCAUGCAUUCAGAUUUCUAAGAAAUUAAUAAACCUAAUUGCAGGUUUUGUAUUAGUAGUAUAGACCAUUGGGAUUAUUGAAUAUGAUGUUCUAGAUUAUUCAUUAGUGAUCCCAAAUGUAAUUGGUUUAGAGUAAUCCAGCAUCUAAAGUAUGAAUUCCACAUAUGAAGCUGGGAUGUGGGAGCAAGUCUCCUAGGAAGUGAGUGAGUAUCACCACCAAUUCAGUGCCCUUCCAUCUCUGUUUAUAGGCCUCUAUGCUUGUAAAAUGUUGACCAUCUUUCUGCAAGAAGAAGGCCAGUUGCUACUUCCAGUGAUGGAUGUGUAUGGAAAAGUUCUAAGAGUAAGAAAGAAAUGGCUUUUGUACAUGUCUUAAAUAUUUCAGAAUAAAUUAAAAAACACAGAGAGAAUAAUAAUUCAUAGACAUAGAUAUGUGUUGUUUAAGUUGCAAAAAACAAAUUCCUUUUCAGUUAAACAGAAAAGGAAUUUACUAAAGAAUAUCGUAUAGUUCAUAGAUUCUCUAGAAGAGCCAAGGAAUCAGGCUUAGAGGCCAUGCAUUCAGGAACAGUGCCUAAAGAAGACUACUGACUGCUCCAGCUGAAGCCACACUGCCAUCAUUACUCAACACAGAUACCAUAACUUCCAUUGCUGAUUCUGGUCAGUGGAUGCCAGAAUUUCUACCAUGGUUGCACCCAAAUGCUGGGUACCUAUCCAACUAUACUCACCAGAAGAUGAAUUUUAGGUGGUUUCUGCUUAUGAAUUCACAGUGUUCUCUUAUGAAUCCAAGUUGUAUGGGGAUGUUUCUUGUUGGUAGUCAUAGUAAAAUAGGUACCUGGUGUCUAGGAAAGUGAGUUUCUGGCUUCUACUUUGUGGAAGUGUGACAAAAAAGCUUGAGAUUGCUCAAGAUGUUCAAAAGAUUUGGGGUGGCCCCAAAAACUGACAAAGAUCUACUGCACAAGAACUGACAAGAGUGAGAUGUUAAACUGGAGGUAAUGUAGCACCUAAAAUGGUAGAAAUUUCAUACUAUAUUAUUUGCAUUUGUGGGAUUUAACAAGGGUCUGCAUGAAUGUCAAAUGUGUUCGGUACUAUGACAUAAAACCUGAACAAUUUGCAAAAAGUACAAGAAAAAUUGUCACUGGAAUAAUGAUAUUGACAAGGAAUUUUUAAAAAUAUAUAUAUUGAUCUCUACAUUAUAUAUACACACAUAUAUAUACAUAUACACACACACACACACACACACACACACACACACAUAUAUGUUAUGUCUACACCAAGGUGGGGCUCCAACUCACAACCUGAGAUCAAGAGUCUCAUGCUCUUCUGACUGAGCCAGCCAGGCACCCCUCCUGAGAUUGCUUUUUAAAUUGCUUUAUUAAUAUCAUAUUAUGAAAAGAAUAGUUUUUCCCAAAACUGGGUGAAAUUGCCCUAUGGACAGUAAGUUUUACACUGAGACAAAACAAUAAUUACAAACUCUUAAGUGGAAACACCAAAAGUUUUACAGAAAAAGUAAAUCACAAAACUACAAGCUUAUAGAACAUAGGCCACAUUAUUAACCUCAGGGAAACCUUAGCAUUCAAGGUAUAAGGCAAAAGUCAUAAUAAUUAUCAGGUUCAGGAGUUUGGAAGUGCCUCCUGUGCUGCUCCUUACUCUUUCUUCUGAUUUACAUCAUCUGUCCUAGGAACUUUCCCACAACAUCUCCCACUUCAUUGUGAUCAAUAUGCUUGUUAGGUAUGGCUCAUCAAAAAUUAGGGACAAGUCAUGUCACUCACUCCAGGUUGACAUUUCCUCCACAGUUCUGGCCUUCACUCCCUCCCAAACUGCAUAAUUCCUCUCUGUCCUGCAUGGGGCUCUCUUUUUCUCCUUCAUUUUCCUGUUAGGCAUUUUCCAUCUUGACAUUUUUCACCCCUUGUUUCUCUUUGGACACCAUUGCUCCUGGGCCUAUCUUUGCAGUCUUCUCCUUCUCCUAGUUCUAACCACCGUUGCGGUGCUAAGACACUUAGAUACCCACACCUGGUUCCCUUCUGCCUCCUACUUUUUGGGCCCACCCCUGGCCCGCACACCCUCAGGGACACCCAGAGCAGGUAUUGAGAAGGGAGCAAUGGAGCAAGCGAUGGCUAGGUCUGGACAAGGAAUUUUAAUUAAAUUGCAGAAGUUUAACAUUUGGCGUAAAAUAGAUAAUAUAGUAACCCAAUUGGAAUACCCUCAAAUACUAAUACCAGAAAUUCUGAAAAUGUGUCUAGAAGAGAUAGAUAUUAUGACAGCAUUUAGAGGAUAUUGGUAACUAUUUGGUACAUGGGAUAGUAAUUUACAUUGUAUGGAAGUUUUACAAUAUGAAAAAGGCUUUAUGUAAGUUGCUGUUUUGAACACGAAAAAUCUAUUAGGUAUUUGAGUUUCUAUUUUCAUUGUUAUAGUUUAGGAAUUUAUUUUUAUGUUUUUAAUGUUUAUUUAUUUUUGAGAGAGACAGAGACAGAAUGUGAGUGGGUUAGGGCCAGAGAGAGACACACACACAGAAUCCAAAGCAGGCUCCAGGCUCUGAGCUGUCAGCACAGAGCCCGGUGUGGGGCUCGAACUCACAAGCUGUGAGAUCAUGACCUGAGCCGAAGUCAGAUGCUCAACUGACUGAGCCACCCAGGUGCCCCUAUAGUUUAGGAAUUUAAACUGAAGAGGUCAACGGGUUUUUUUUUAAGUUUUAUUUAAGUUUAUUUAUUUAUUUUGAGACAGAGAGAGAGAGCGAGAGCGCGCAUGCCUACAAGCAGGGGAAGCACAGAGAGAGAAGGAGAGAGAAAGAACCCCAAGCAGGCUCCACACUGUCAGCACAGAGCCCAGUGUGGGCUCAAACUCACAAAUCAAACGGUGGGACCAUGACCAGCACCGAAAUCAAGAGCCAGAUGCUUAACCCACUAAGAAACCCAGACACCCUGAGAGGUUAACUUUUUAAAGUCACGUGCCUACUGAUUCAUCUUGAACUCAAGUCUCAUGAAGGUAGCCACUUCAGAGACUCUGGAUAAAGGGCACGCUAUCAAGCAUAAUAGCACAGAGGACAUUAUGCAGAGAGAUAUUGAGAUUCCUGAGAGUCUCUUUGGGCUGCCCAAACUUAGCAAUUUCCUCUGGUCUGAUUAUUUGGUUCUGUUUCAAUAAAGGAAGUCUGGUUCUGAUUCUUCCUGGACCAUACACUAGCAGGUCAGGUUACUGCUAUGAAGUUCAUCCUCUAAUUUGCACAGUUUAUUAACUAACCAAUCCACAGACAUUUGUUGCAUAGUUGUGAACAAGAUCUUAUGCCAGUUGUUUGCAAUUAUUCUUUCCCCUCUCCAUGCACUUGAGAUCACUCUUGCUCUUCCUUAUGAGGGGAUGGAAAAGCAAGUCACAAUCAUCUCUCUGUAUGGCAAGUCUACCUCUAGUUGAAUUAUAAAAGUUUAAUGUUUAGACACAGGUUAUAAUUUAGUUUGAUGCGUUUUCCUCCCUAGUUAGAGUUGGUAAUUUAAAAUUAGGACCCUUUUUUUGGUCUAAUUUGUUUAAAAAUUUUUAGAGGUAAUACAAUUUCUCUCUUCUGGCUCAUGAUUUGUAAUCUUGUUAAUCUUCUCUUUCUAAUCAAUCAAAAUGAGUAAAAGCUGUAAUUACAUGGUUUUACUGUAGAAUUAAUUGGAUCUGACCAUUCAUACUCCUUAUAAUUGGUUUCCCGAAUGGGGUGUGUGGUAUUCUAACAUCUCACCCAAGUAUGCAGUUAAAUAUUUUCAAACUUCUAUAAAUUCAAAAACUUUCCUCCUCAAUUAAUCCUUUUCUAUUCAUUUCAGAUUCAUCUAGGCUAACUGAUAUUAAUAGUUUCCUAUCAAGUCAAUAGGAAGAUAACACAUUUUUUUGCCUUUAAAAAAUGCUAUUAAAUUUUAACUUCAGCUUUAUUUUUAAAAAUUAAUUAAUUUAUUUUUUAAUUUACAUCCAACUUAGUUAGCAUACAGUGCAACAAUGAUUUCAGGAAUAGGUUCCAGUGAUUCAUCCCCUAUGUAUAACACCCUGUCCUUGUCCCAACAAGUGUCUUCCUUAAUGCACCUUACCCAUUUAGCCCAUCCCCCCCUCCCAUAACCCCUCCAGCACCCUUCUGUUUGUUCUCUAUAUUUAAGUGUCUUUUAUGUUUUGUUUCCCUCCUUGUUUUUAUAUUAUUUUUCUUCCUUUCCCUUAUGUUCAUGUUUUUUUCUUAAAUUUCUCAUAUGAGUGAAGUCAUAUGAUAUUUGUCUUUCUCUGACUGACUCAUUUCACUUAGCAUAAUACCCUCCAGUUCCAUCCACAUCGUUGCAAAUGGCAAGGUUUCAUUCCUUUUUGAUUGCCGAGUAAUACUCCAUUGUAUAUAUACCACAUCUUCUUUAUCCAUUCAUCCGGUGAUGGACAUUUGGGAUCUUUCCAUACUUUAGCUAUUGUUGAUAGUGCUGCUAUAAACAUGGGGGUGCAUGUGUCCCUUCGAGACAGCACACCUGUAUCCCUUGGGUAAAUGCCUAGUAGUGCAAUUGCUGGGUCAUAGGGUAGUUCUAUUUUCAGUUUUUUGAGGAACCCCCAUACUGUUUUCCAGAGGGGCUGCACCAGCUUGCAUUGUCACCAACGAUGCAAAAGAAAUCCUCUUUUUCCGCAUCCUCGCCAACAUCUGUUGUUGCCUGUGUUGUUAAUGUUAGCCAUUCUGACAGGUGUAAGGUGGUAUCUCGUUGUGGUUUUGAUUUGUAUUUCCCUGAUGAUGAGUGAGGUGGAGCAUUUUUUCAUGUGAGGAGACAACACAUUUUGACUGGAUUUUUAAUUUAUGCAAGAAACCAUUUAGCUUCAGAUAUAUCUUUUCAUGUAUCAAACCAAAAGAAAACCAAUGAAAGCUUUUCAAAUUUAUGAAACAAGACUUUCAGUACAUUUAUUAUUAGUACUCUAAUGAUAAUCCUCAGAAAAUGGAGUAUAAACUAAUUAUAAAAUAACACACUUGAGUUAAUGAAGUCACUACAAUACAUAAUAAUAGUUUUCCAUUGGUUAGGAUUCUUUAGUUGAUAAGAACCUACUGGUACAUGUGAAUUUUUGGUGAAGUGCAAGCAACCAGUGCCAGUGAAACCAUCCUACUAGCCACGAUGAUAAUUGUUCUUUGUUGUACAUUCGUUUAAAAAAAAUUUUAUUGACCAUCUGCUAGAAUGUCAAACACUCAUGUAAGUUCUGCGAAUGAAAAGUACUGAAAAAGACAUACAAGGUCCCUGUUUUCAUGAAGGCUAUUAUUGAGAAGGGCAGAACUAAAAACCUAGUAAACACAGAAAUGAUUAAGAUAAUAUCAAAGACAUAGACUUGUAAUGAAGGUGGUAAGCAUAGCAAUGGGAUAAAAAGUGACUGGGGUAGAUCUACAUGGGAUUGUUGGCUAUGUCCCUUCUGAGGCAGUGACAUUUUGCUAAGACUUGGAUAACAAAAGGCAACUAUGGAACAAUCUGUUAGCUUUCACACAGAUGCUGCUUAUUUAUGUUUUAAUGGUUAGUCUAGAGUGAUGCUUCUACUCAAUAGUUUUAGAAAUGCGAUAGUUUUCUCACACUGUUGACUUUAUUACAGUACAUCCUGAUUAUUCUUUUAAAAUAUUUUUAUGCCACUUCUAAGGGUUCAGUGCUAAUUUCCUUAUGAGUUCCUUUGAAACUUAAAUACUGAUGGAUAAUUUCACAAAUACCAGUAUGCCUCUAGUUAUGUCACUGCCUUACAGCAAUGACAGUCCAAAUGGGUAAGUGCUGCUAUGGAAAACACAGGAUACUAGAGCCUGUCUAGCUCUGUUUUGGAGACCAGGUUAAGAUUUUCUGAAAUAAGAGACUUCUAAAUUGGAUCUUGAAGGACAAAGAGAAGUGUCCCAGAGAAAGGAGCAGGGGAGCAGGAGAGAAAAGUCUUCGACAUGGAGGAACGUGUGCACAGGCCCCCAGGGAGAGAGAACAUGGUACAUUUAAGAAACCACAUAUAAUCUGCAUUUGGCCGAAUUAUAUAGCAUACAAGCACAAUUAUAAAAUGAGAGAGAGGAUGCUAGCAGAAUGAGCAGAAGUCAAUAACAGAGGGUCUAGUAAGACUUGUUAAAGAGGUAGGACUUUAGAGCUGAAGAAAAAGAAAAUAUUCAUUCAUUCAACACAUUUUUAUUAAAUACCUCCUAUGCACCAUGCACUAUUCUAGGCACUGGGAAUACAUCAGUGAACAGACAGAAAUCCCUACCUUCAUUCUGUCUAUAUUCUAGAGGCAAGGGAAAGUAGAUAAUAAACAUCAAUUCUUUUUUAUUUUUGGCUACCCUCAUUUCUUUCUUCUUUCUUUCUUUCUUUCUUUCUUUCUUUCUUUCUUUCUUUCUUUUCUUUAUUGAGCAUAGUUGACACACAAUGUCAUAUUAGUUUCAGGUGUACAACAGUGAUUGACAAAUUUAUAGACUAUGCUAUGCUCACCACAAGUGUAGCUAUCAUCUGUCACCAUAGAACAUUAUUACAAUAUCAUUAGCAGUAUUCUUUAUGCUGUGCCUUUUGUUCCCAUGACUUAAUUCAUCCAUAACUGGAAGCCUGUGUCUCCCGCUCCCCUUCACCCAUUUUGCCCAGCCUCCCCUCCCCACUGGCAGCCAUCAGUUUGUUCUCUGUAUUUUCACACCUCGUUCUGCUUUUUGUUUGUUCAUUUUUUUUUAAGAUUCCACACAUAAAUGAAAUCAUAUGGUAUUUGUCUUCUUCAGUCUGAAUUAUUUACAUAAUACCCUCUAGGUCCAUCCAUGUUGUCGCGUGUGGCACGAUCUCAUCCUUUUUUAUGGCUAAGUAAUAUUAAUCAAGUAAAAUGCUAAGGUUUUGAGGAUUUUUGAGCUGGAUAUAAUAUGGAAGAAAUCUUUCAACCAGGAGCACUUGACAGAUUAUAGGUUAAUACCAAAAAAUAUAUAUGUCAGUGACAGUGGCACUUGAGAUUUUGGCAUACCCUUCACUUUUCUGAGUGAAAUUAAACUACCAUUUCUCACACACAAGGACUAUAUUUUCCUUCCUCCUAUACCCUUUCUGGUCAGGAUUGCUCCAUAACCCUGAAUCCCAUGAAUUCUCAAUAGUAAAUAUUCUUUAAAUAGAAAGAGACUAGUAGAUAGAUUGGUAGCAAGAGGGAUAUGAAUAUCUUAAAGCUCUUUGGAAGUCAGUGAAGUUUUAUUGUUUCACAGAGAUUUGUUAAUAUUAUGCCUGUAAGCUAGGGCUGCAGCAUCCAAACUUCUCUGCCACAGAACUUUGUGGAAAUUGUACUUAAUUUGGAAGAAUAUGCUAUUACAAUACCAAGCAGUUCAAGGGAUCUUUUCAUGUCUCAUCCUAUUUACCCUAUAGUUAGUAAGAGUUGAUCAUAUAUCAUAUAGUAACUAAGAGUUGAUUCUAAUAAAUUAAGUUUUAUGAUUAAACAAAGUUCUCAUUUUUAUUAUUGUGGAGACAGUGGAAUGACAUUUAGUUAAAAAAACAAACAAACUACUGUUUACCAACUGGAUAGAUUCCACUGAAGCACCAACAGAUUGCUCUAAAGAUAGUUCCACAUUGCCAUCAACUUCCUGUUUUGAAGAGAAGAAAGGAAUCACAUUUUAAGCCUCUGUCUCUUUAAAACAAAAUGCGAGGUGCUGAACUACGUGGCACUUUUGAUUAUAUGUUGAAACUGCACUAAGUCCCUGAAAUCCAAAAGAAUAUUGCACUCUGGUCCUUUGUGCAGAAUACUCACAUGAGUGCUCACAGGAACCAAUCCAGAAGCAAAUUGCUGCUGAUAGUAACUGACAGCAUGAAUUACUGCACUCUCAGAGACUCUGCCAGCAUCAACCCGUAUGAUCUCACUUUUGCUCAUAUGGCAAGCAGAAUUUGUGCAUGUGCUAGAACCAACCUCCCAAGUUCAGGGAACAGCAAGGUUUCUCAGCAGUUGUUUGAAAAUAGCCAGCACCUUUGAAAUGAAUCACUGUAGCAUCUCAUCAUCUCACCCUUAUAAAAUGAGAGAGGAUUUUUCUUUGCUGAGUUUCUGACCCUAAUCAUGUAGAGUCCCUUAGAAGAAGGAGAAACUGACUCAUCUGUUUAUUCGUCCUAUGAAAACCAGACUAGUCAAUGAAUGCAGAGGACAGCAUCAAUUUAUCUUCAACAAACCGACCUGCCUCUGAUCUGCCACUCCCUCUGGUCCAUUUGGAGACAUUCUGCUGUAUGUUGGUUCAUAACGAUCUUUAGAAAUCCUCCUCUACUUUGGAAUAAAUAAGGACAUUGAAAGAAAGAACUAUACACUUUAUUAAAAAUGCCCAAUUAAAGUAUGUAUGAUAGAAAAUGCUCUAAUUUAUAUUUGUGCAUACCAACACAACCAAGAUCACUGAAUUAUCAUUCAAAUAUAAGAAGAAAUCAUGCCAAACGUACAUGUCUGGAAAGAAAAGCAGGAACUGAAAACAUUCUCCCAAAGGAUGAAAUCAUAGACCCAAUUUUCACAACCCAAGAUCAUUCUCAAGAGUACUUCUCUUAUUUCAGUCUAUUACAAAACUCACCUAAAUAGUACCAAAAUUAUAGGGAGAAAAAAAAAAAACUUAUGGUUUAUUGCCCUUGCCAUCAUUAGCAAUAUAAUCUACUGUUUCUGGGAAAACAGACUUUCUGAGGUCUUGAACUCUGUUCUUGGCAGGUAAGAAGCCUUCCAGGUCAUCUUUAAAGGCAUAUUUAUUUUUAAUGCUUAAGUCUACACAUGUUUUCUGUUAAUAAGUUGGAAUCUUAAACAAGAUUGUUAUUCACUCUAUUUAUUUACCUUAGAAAGUACCCAAUUCUUCUGAAACAAUGGUCCCUUUGAAAAUGGGUGGGAAAUAGAAUUUAAAAUUGAAUUAAAAUAGAGGGAAAAUAGCCUUUCUUUCUUCAUUGCAUGUUUUUGCUGUCUCUAGAAGGGGUGAUGGGCUUCCGCCCUUACAUGAUAUUUGUUCUGAGUUGGAAUUGGUCUCAUGAGAGACAGGGAAAAUGGGAGAGCCUUUUUUGUCACCGAAGGCACCCUAAAGGGAUGGUUUGUUUAGAUUGGACAGUCCUUCCUGUCUCGGGAAAGUUUGAGGUUGAAGAUAGGCAAUCCCAGCAUGGUAACAAGAGGUAAUACAACAGGUAGUGGACACACAGAGGAAUGAGCACUUGCCUCUCAACGUGGAUGUUCCACAGGCCUCUCCUGUUCAACAUAUUCAAAACCGAGCCCAUCACCUCUUGUUCCUCCUCCUGAAUUACUGAUCUCAGUGAAAGUCCCACUCUCCACCCCAGCAAGAAGGCAGAGAAACCUGGGGUUCCCUCUUGACUACUUCCCAUGCCUUGUUCACCACACCCAAUCUAUCACCAAGGUAUUUCACUUCUGUUAUUUUUCUCAAAUUGUCAAAUUCUCUUUCAUGUUCUUCAUUCCCAUGCUAAGUACACACAUUAUCUCCUUUACAAAUAAGUCUCUUGACUGCUCCAGCCUUGUUCUUUCUGAUAUGAUCUCUACAGUUUCUUUUUUUAUUAAAAAAAAUUUUUUUAGAGAGAGAGAGUGCGAGUGAGUGAGGGGCAGAGAGAGGGGAAGAGAGAAGAAGAGAGAGAGAAGCAGGGCUUGAGCUCACCCAAAGUGGGGCUUGAAUUUACAAACUGUGAGAUCAUAACCUGAGCCAAAGUCUGAUGCUUAACCAACUGAAUGAGCCACCCAGGCACCCUCUAUAGUUUCUGAUAGAUUUAUCUGAUCUUCUCAUUCUUCUGCUUAAAAGGAUCCCUAUUGCAAUAAAGGAAAAAAAAAAAACAACAACAACAACAACUCUGAACUCCCUUGAAUGGCAUAUUAACUCAAUCAGCAUUCUUUCUCCCCUCUCUUGCCUAACAGAAAUACAGUUUCUGUUUUGAAUGACCUCCCCUCCUCCUUUCUUCUGUUAAGUGAUUUCUACAUCUCUUUCAAAUUUUGAUUCAGCUGUUACCUCAUCCAGGAAAACUUCCCUGACCCUCUUCCUGCCCCUAUCACAAAAUGUUCCCUGAAGUACCCCUUUUGACCCUGUCAUGCAUGCAUCUUGAGGGCAGGUGUGGUGUUUUCAUUUUGCCAACUUAGCAUCUAGUUUGGUGCCUGGCAAGUGAAUGAAUGUAGGGGUUAUCAGAGAAAGUCACACAGAGAAGGUGGAGUUGAACUGAAUCACUCUUGGGAGAGAAGUAAGAUGAAGUAGAGAAUGAUAUUUGAGGGAGAAGGAAUAACAUGUCCAAGAGCAGGAAAGAGCUUGCCAUGUUUAGAGAACAGUAGGUGGUUUCGAGAUGCUGGAAUAUAAAAGUGAGAUAAAGAAUUCUGUGGCAUCUGGGGCGCCUGGGUGGCUCAGUCAGUUAAGCGUCUGACUUCAGCUCAGGUCAUAAUCUCUCGAUUCGUGGGUUUGAGCCCCGCGUCAGGCUCUGCACUGACAGCUCAGAGCCAGGAGCCUGUUUCAGAUUCUGUGCCUCACUCUCUCUCUUCCUCUCCCCUGCUUGCGCUCUGUCUCUCUGUCUCUCUCUCGAAAAUAAGUAAACACUAAAAACAUAAAAAAAAAAAAAAGAAUUCUGUGGCAUGAACCGUGUUCAGAGUUAUAACACAUUUGGUAUAAUCUGUGACCAGCUUAUCCCAAAGUUUGAAAAGGCCUCUUCUUGCUUUUCUUGAGGCUCUAGGUAUAGUUUAGAAUGAGGAAGUGUUUAAACAGGAUUAUGCAAAGUAACAUUCUCAUAUACUUACAUUUAACAGAUUAUCCCUUUGAUACAGAAAACAAUACAGUUUAAUUUUUUUUGUUAUUUAUUAGCAAUUAUAGGAUACAAAUAUGAAUAUAUAUAUAUAUAUAUAUAUAUAUGAAUGAAUAUUUAUUUGUAGGAGACUGUAUGUAAGAGGUACAAUCAGGCAAUGGGCCGUGAAUCUAAAGUAGUGAGAUAAAUGUCUUCUGUUAAUAUUGUGGCCCAUCUCUGACACUAUGUAGAGCGUCUUUGGGUGGUAAUAUCAAAGGUCCAACUUCGAAAAUAUGAGCCAGGAGCCAGUGUCUCUUCACAACUCUCAGCCUCUUAUUUCUUUAUCUGCCCUGCGUGUGGAAGACUUUAUUGGGAAAGUCAUGCUGCAAGCAUUUACUCCAGGGAGGCUUUUCUGCUUAUGUCCAUUUUUACUUCUUUUUGACUGCUUACAAAGUGAAAAAAAGAAAAAAAGUUAAAAUGAGAAAAGGGAAAAUUUGAAAAAUGAGAAUAGAAAAGGAAGGACACAUUAAAGAAAAUGUUUACAAAAAAAUUGCUGAGGUAAAGAAUGUUUGAGAUAAAAACAAAAUAAAGCAUUUUCACAUUUCAGGUAAAAUAGAUCACUAGCUCAAUGGAAACAUUUAAUUACUGUAGUUGAAGAAAAUUUUCAAAGUGUAAUUUCUUCAUGCGAACAGUGGAUGCAGGAACAAGUAAAUCCAGCUCAGAUCAACCUACUGAGCAAACAGAUCCCCCUGACCUUGCUGGAAAGUUCAGCAAUCCAUCCUGUAGCCUACUGGAAAAGUACCAAACUGCUAAAGUACAAAAGAGCCAAACUGCUAAACAAAUGAUCAGUUUAUUCAAGAUAAUUGUUCUAUAUGCUAAUGUAUGUCUAUAUAUGAAGUUGUUACUGAAUAUCCUGCUUUUCUUUUUCUUUUUCUUAUACCCUUAUUGUAGAUAUUUUCUCUUCUUGCCAUCAGAGAAGUAGGAAUGGGUGUCUUACAAUAUUCACAACAGGAAAUAUAUUCACAUUUAUAAAAUGGGCAAGUUGUUAUUUCUCCAUUCCCUGAAAAAAAUGUUUUAAAAAUCUUUAAUUGGGCUGAAAUUUUCCAGAUUACUUUUAGUCCUUGAUUCAAUUUCAUUAGAAAAGCACAAAAUUUAUAUAUCAGGAUUUUUCUCUCUCUGGAGUUAGUGCCAAGUUUUCCUUCCUUGGGUGUGGCCAAAUCCUGAUGAGUUUCUAGAACACGUGCAUCAAGACCUGCCCUUGUCUUUUGCCUUCUUCCUGGUGUUGCUGUCACCUUCUGAGAUGGACGUGGGACAUGGGGCAUCAAAUGGUCUUGAAGAGCCAUAGUCAACCUUACAAGGAAGUUAGCAAGGCUUGUAAACCACUGUUUGCCGGUUUUCCUUAUAUCCUUCCAUUGCAUCACUGUGAUUCAGGUCUGUUUCUCAGAUGGUGGUAAGUGAGGUGCAGCUAGCUAGAACAUCACUGGUGACUCAGUGGUAGAAGCCGGUUUAUGAAGAACACGAUUUCCCUAACUCUUGUCCUGUGUUUUUAUUUGUCUCAAUGUUUGUUUUUGGUUAUGUCCUCACUAGGAGAAUAGGGGAAAAUAUCAUUUUAUACUUUAAAUGACUUUACAUACAAAUAGUUGAAAAAAAAGAUCAAAUGUAAUAUUUCAUUUAUAGUUACUUAUGUAAAUAUGCAGCCAUUAAAACAGACAAGUUAGAGGCUAUUUAUAACAUUCCUUUUUUUAUUGUAUAAACAUACCAAAAAAGAUUAGAAGUAGUCAUUUCAUUUGUUGUUUUUUAAACAAUUACAAAACCUCAGUGACAUCAGUUUUCAAAACAUUUUUGUCAUUUCUGUAAAAUGGAUGAAGAAAAUAACAAGAGCUGUGUUAACUUAUUUAUAUGCAUAACAUUGCAAAACGUUUUCAUUAUUAAAUAAAUGCCUUUAUGUUUAGUAUCUAUUCAUCAUUAACUCCCACAGGGAGGUUUUUAAUAUUCUUGAUAAAACUUUUUAAGUCCUCUCUUUUCUCUUUAGUUUUUAAUUUUUUUAAGAUUAUUAUUAUUAUUAUUAUUAUUUAAUUUGAGAGAGAGAGAGAGAGAGAGAUCAUGGGGAGGGGCAGAGGGGUCAUGACCUGAACCGAAAUCAAAAGUUGGAUGCUCAGCUGAUGGAGCAACCGAGGCGCCCACUCUUCUGUCUUUCUGACAUGUACUUCCAUGUCUUAUGCCCUGGCAAACAGCCCUGUGGAUUAGAAGUUCCCUCCACAAUUCCUAACGUGUCUCCUAGUUAGCCUGUUAGUGGUCUCUAGGGCACUACUGAGAAGGUUUCUGGUGAUUUGAACUGGAGACUCUUGGCUAGUCAAGAAGUCCUUAUUUGAGCUUAGGAGCAGGGUGUGGAAACAGGUGUGAGCUUUACCUCCACAAUUCUCCCCCAGGUUGGGGUAAGGAAGAGAGGAAAGCAGUAGCAUUGUUCUACUUCUAUACAGGCUCUGGCCUCACCUGGGAUUUACUUACAGCUGGGUCUAGAGGAAGGCCUUUAAUCAUGGAGUCUGCAUUGGGAAAGGAUGUAUUGAUUUUCUAUCAAGGGUAGGCAAAGUUUUGAACUCAUCCAAAUAAUGGUAUCAUAUCAGAUUUUUACCAUAGAAGUAUUGGACAUAAUGUGUGCUUUACAAAGGUUGGCGGAGAAUUCCAAUGCAAUAUGGUAUUAAUUAAUUUAUUUAUUCAACUACUAUUUAUUGAGUAUAUUCUAUAAUCCAGGUGCAAUGAUAUGAUAUACUGAUAGUAAUGAACAAAUAUAAUACAGUCUUUGUUCUAAUAUAGUCUAUUUUAAAAAUACAAGAGUAGCUAUUUUAUUUAUUUAGUUAAUUACUUUUAGAGAGAUAGUGCAAGCAGGGGAGAGGAGAAAAAGGAGAGAGAGAGAGAGAGAGAGAGAGAGAGAAUCUUAAUCUUAGCAUGGAGCCCAAUAUGGGUCUUGAUCCCAUGCCCCCCUGGGAUCAUGACCUAAGCCGAAAUCAAGAUUUGGAUGCUCAACCCACUGAGCCACUCAGGUGCUCUAGAAUACCUAUUUUAAAACUAAUUCCUAUUUUUUUUAGUUAGUUUGUUUGUUUAUUUAUUUAUUUUGAGAGAAAAACAGAGCACGUGAACUGGGGGGGAGGUGGAAGGGAGGGGGGAGAGACAGAAUCCGAGCAGACUGCACUGUCAGCAUAGAGCCCCAAAUGGGGCUUGAACUCACAAACUGCAAGAUGAUGACCUGAACCAAAAUUAAGAGUUGGAUGCUUAACUGACAGCCACCCCAGGCACCCCACUAUUUUUGCUUUGAUGAAACAAAAAUGAUAUAUAAUGGAUGAUUAGCUAAUUACCAUUUCCCUGUAUUUAACAGAGCAAAAAUUGUUUUUUUAACAAUUAUUUAAUAAUUUAAAUAAUUUAAAGAUUAAUUAAAAUAGAAAAGAAAUAUUUGUAUUUUGGUAGACAAUAUAUAUUGUCCAAGUGGAAAAAAAUAUCAAAAGGGGCAACUGGGUGGCUCAGUCAGUUAAGCAUCUGACCCUUGAUUUCAGCUCAGGUCAUCAUCUCAUGUUUGUGGGUUUAAGCCCCGCUAUUGGGCUCUGUACUGACUGCUCAAAGUCUGCUUGGGGUUCUCUCUGCUCCUCCCUGGUUUUUUCUUUUUUUUUUUUCUCUCUCUCUCUCAAAAUAAAUAAAUAAAAACUUUUUAAAAAUCUCAAGAAAAAUAGAUCCCUUAAAAGUUAUUCAGAAUUUAUUUCAGAAACACUGAUAUUCUAGAUCUAUUGCCAGUUUUCCAGUAACUUAAUUAAGCAUUACUUUUUGUUUCUUUAUCAUCUUUGAUUUUUUUUUUCCAUCUUCUCAUUUUUCUUUUGGCAUAGCAUCCAGGAGAAAGAGCUUCUGGUCCUGCAUUCCAAAACUUGGUUCAAGUCCAGUCUUUCUUUUCAUGGUUACGAAAGCUUGGGAAGUCAUAUUUACUGUAUCUUGGCCUAGUUUCUUCAUCUGUAAAAUGAUAGGGUUAUAUUGAUUAAUAGCCAAGAUCCUUUCCAAUUUUAACAUUCUCUGGUUCUUUAAUCUUCUGGAUUUGAGGGUAGAAUGUAAACACAUGGACAUGAACAUAUGUUGAGAAAUGCUAUUAAAAAUAGAAACAACACAGAAAUUUAGAUUUAGUUGGAGUUAUGAAUGAGUUCGGGUUCACUUAUAGUACAAUACAGAGUUCUGUACUUUACCAGUUUGUAUCUUCCAAGGAAAAUGCAUAUGUGUGGGUAAGCAAGGUGUUUGGAUUGAAUGUAGCAUUUAACUCACGGAAAUUCAGAGCCACUUCAAACUAGAGAUACCGACAUUGUCUUUGGCUAGGUACAACUCAGAUAAUAUCACUCUCAGAUUGCGUCCCAAGUCACAGCUGUGUCACAGUACUAGCCUGAAGGCAUCCUGUUGACGCAAGGGCCAGAAUCCCAGCUCACUUAUGACAGCUCCUCAUUUAGUCUUUCUUGACCCCUUCCUAAACUGGAAGCUCUCUCUUCCCUCUUUAUGCUCCAGUUCACUUGCAUUUGGUCUUGCAUUAAAGUUAGUUGCGUACAAGUCUCUCUCACUUUAGUGGUUCUUCAACUGCCUGAGAGAACCCAAUCUGUCUGGUUUACAUGUGUAUUUCCCAUGGUGCCUUGCAUGAAGCAGGCAUACGGACAUUUUUGUUGAAGUAAACAUUUCAACUCAAGUUAAAAACAACUAUGAAAAUAUCAUGUUUUAUAUCCUUAAGUUCUAACACAAGGGUGGAGCUUAUUAGAGGUACUGAAACCUGAGCUUGAUAGAGGCAGAAUGGCAUUCAAUGAAACAUCUCAACUCUACUAAGGUAUGGGAAACUUGGCAGCUCAGUCAAGCUGAAAACAUUCUUGCCUGGGGUUUUGGAAGGAGACUCAGAUGCCUUUGUAUUUACCCAAUGGAUGACGUUCACCUUUUGUCAGCCUAGUCAGUGAUCUACUCUUCCACCUGGGGUUGUCUGCAUUCUCCCAUAGACCCCGGCCAUGGGUCAUUCUAUUUCGUCACAUGAUUCAUUACUUGCUGUCUAUAUAGGCCUAAGACUUUCUGUUACCCAAAAAAGUGCUAACCUGAAUAGAGAAUGAAACGAUAAAAAAAAAAUCACCUACUGUAAAGAUUCAGUGGCAAAAUAUACUGUUCUCUGUCUUUUGGAAAUCUUAUUCUUCAUAGUUAAAAUCACUUUUAACUUUUUUAAUGGUUUCUGAUAUAAACAUAGUAAUUUGUUUAUUAUUGUGUUUAUAGUGAAUAUAACCUAUUAUUUAUUGAUUAACCAAUUUUAAUUAUUAUUGGUGAUUUUCUGCUGUGAAUGUUGUAGAUUUAACUUGUUGAAACACUACUCAACUUUUCUUCCAUUCUUUCUCCCAAUGUUGGGUAUUAUAUUAUUAAUUUUAAGCUUUCUGUUGUUACUUUUUUCAUUUACAAUAGUAGUAUGUUUUAUUCCUUGUUCCCUCAAAUUUAAAUGUAUCUAUUGAUUCAAUACUAUGUAAGAUGGUGAAAAUAUUCAGUGGCCUUUUCAGUGUGAUGUCUUGUGUCUUUCUGCAUUUUAUUCCUUUUUUAAAAAGAGUUUAUUUAUUUAUUUUGAGAGAGAGAGAGAAAGAGAGAGAGGGAACAAGUGGGGUAGGGGCAGAUGGAGGGAGAGAGAGAGAAUCUCAAGCAGGCAUUAUGCUCUGCACUGAGUCUGAUGCAGGGCUUGAUCUCAUGACUUAAGCCAUAUUCAACAGUUGCAGGCUUAACUGGUUGACUGAGCCACUUAUGUGCUCCAAUUCCUUUUUAUUUAAUAAUUUAUUUUUUUUCCAAUUUCUUUAUUCUUCUUCUGGUCCCCUAUUUUGCUGAACAUUGAACUUUGUGGAUUGACACUUUGUGUCUCUUAUCUUCUCUGUCAUAUGUUUCAUCUUUUUAUUUUUUCAUUCUAUAUUAUGAUAUUUUAAAAAUGUGUACUGCUCUUUUAUGAAUUUUUGAUUUUUAUGUUUAAAAAAUUUUUAAGAGCUGGUUCUUACUGUGAUCUUUCCCAUUUUUGUAGAUUGUUGUUCUUGUUUUUAAGAUUAUGACAUCAUUUACAAACUUCUGAAUAUUCUAAUAAGAAUUUAAAAAGAAAGACUUUUUCAGUUCCUUGCAUGUCCACCAUAUUCUGCUGAGUCUAUAACUCUGAUUUUAUCUAGAUCUUUCUCUUUAAUACUCUUAGUCUUCCUCAUAUGUCUGGUGGUCCUUGCUUAUUAGUGCUUAUCUUAGGCUACAUGUUUAGGUUGAUUAUUCCAGGUCUGGGUUGCAAGUUUUCUUGGCUGCUCUUUAGGUAAGGUUCUUUCCUCAUGAUGUCUCUUCUCUGAAUUGAAGGCUCUUUGUUUGUAGGUAGAGUUUAUUAUCUGCAGGAUUUGCCUAAGGGUGAGUAGGUAAGGGACUGGGAAAUCAGAGCUCAUAGUAGCAGCCUGUACUUUUCCCAGGAAGCUUACUCAAUUCCUUUAGGUGCCUGCACUGUUUUUAUCUUGGAGGAAUGAACACUGUGUUGCCUUUUAUUGUGCAUGCAGAGAUCCUGGGCUGUGGUGUGUGUGUGUGUGUGUGUGUGUGUGUGUGUGUGUGAGAGAGAGAGAGAGAGAGAGAGAGACAACUAGUGCAGCUACUUUACUGAAGGACUUUCAGUGAUAUCCCUGUUUUUACUGUCACCACUAUAACCUACUUGCUCUGACCUGGGAGACUUUCCAAACUCCCUUUGAAAGUUAGGCUCUGCCCUUCACUGUGGUCCCCUUCUGUCCUGUACUGCAGUCUUCUGUGCUUCAUUUCACUCAUUCGUAGGAUUUUGUGUUUUAUAUUCCUAGGACUUUGUUGAUUUAAGUAAAACAAAACAAAACAAAACAAACAAACAAACAAACAAAAACAAGAUUCAAAUUUCAACCACAGAGUUCUUAACCUUUAUGUUAUAUUGCCUCUUAGUAUCAUGCCAUUAAGAAAACCUCAAAAAAUUAAAAAUAGAACUACCCUAUUAUGUAGGAAUUACACUACUAGAUAUUUACCCAAAAAAUACAAGAACAGUAAUUCAAAGGGGUACAUGCAUCCAAAUACAGCAUUAUUUACAAUAGCCAAAUUGUGGAAGCAGCCCAAGUGUCCCUCGGUAGAUGAAUGGAUAAAGAAGAGUGGUAUAUACAUAUAGUGGACUAUUAGCCAUAAAAAAGAAUGAAAGUUUGCCAUUUGCAACAACAUAGAUAGAGCUAGAGAGUAUAAUGCUAAGUGAAAUAAAUCAUUCAGAGAAAGGCAAAUACCAUACGAUCUCACUCAUAUGUGGAAUUUAAGAAACAAAACAAAUGAGCAAAGGAAAAGGAAGAGGGAGAGAGAGAGAGAAAGAGAGAGGGAAACCAAGGAACAUAUUUUUAACUAUAGAGAACAAACUGAUGUUUAUCAGAGGGGAGGGGAGUGGGAACAUGGGGGAAGGGGAUGGGGAUUAUAGAGUACACUUAUCAUGAUGAAAAAAAUAAAAAUUAAAACCCUUGAUAGAAUGAAGGUGGAGUAUCAAAUAAAAGCUGAUUACAUAUUUUCUUAAAAAAUAGACAUUUUCCAGAAGAGACUCAAAAAAUGAGUGUAAUUCUAUGGUGAUGAGGAAGGUUGAAUUAUGAAAUUCUGGCCACAUAAUUCAAAAUUUUCUCAAUGGAAAGAAAAUUGGGAGGCAGUAGAGAACCUGGCAUAUUUGCAGGUAGAGAACUUGUCUGAUAAAGCUGGAAGAUAUCUGUGUAAAUUGUGGAUGGGAGAGCAUAACUAAGGGGAAUACAAAGGACUAGGAUAAAAAUUUCAAGAGAGUUAAAGCCAAAGAUUAGCUGAGGCUCACAAAAACCACUAGAGACAGCAGCAGCAAAUUUUAGUGCUAUUUUCAGAGCAAUAGAUAGAUGAAAAUUAUAGGUCCAUUGCUUGAGAAUGAUGGUAUCAUGUUAAAAGAAAACACUACACAUCCGCUUUUCUUCUGUCUAUACCAAGAAGAAUGAUCUUUAAGCUGGUACCAUUGAGGGACCAUUGCAUUAAGAGGUCAUUGAUAUAUACAAUGAUAUAUACAAUGAGAGGAGUUUAAUGAUAACAAAUAUUUUAGAUGAAUUCAAAUUCCCAGAUCCUGACAAAGUAUGUUUUAGGAAAUAAACAAUCUCAUUGAUAUCAUCAUAGUGCUACCAUAUUCUUUGAGAAAUUUUGGAGAACAGAGGAAAAAAUUCAAAAGAAUGGAGAAAGGUACAUAUGACCCUAGUUUUCAAAAAUUCCCACCCCAUCAGUGUCAGGCUUGGCUGUGUCUUGCUGUGGUCAAUGGAAUGUGAGGGGUGACAUUUGCUACUUCCAAGCAGAAUCAACAAGAUUCACUGUAUUUUCUGCUAUCUCUGUUGAAAAACAUGUCAUCAGUUAUUUGAACGACAGCUAAGAUGUUGUAUUUCUCAACUUUACAUAAGGCCCAUUACUCUCUAUAAAAAAGAAUAUGUUGGAUGGUAAAAUUAGAAUUGAAAAUUAUAUCUGUUGAAAAUAUACUGAAGGAAAUGUGAUAAAAAUUUAUAACUUGAAGUGUUGUAUUUGUAAGCAUCAGUUGUAAUGAAUGAAGGAGAACUUCUUUGAAUUCAGGUGGAACCAGAUAGUAUGGAUUGGUUCAAACCUUAAAUAACAUUAGUGUGUGGCUGCCUCUAUAAAAGUUAAGGUGAUCUGAAGCUAUAUUAACAGAGUUUGGUUAAGAGUCCAUAUUAAGGGGACUAUUAUGUAUUAAUAUUAUAUCCAAUUCUUGGCAUUACUUUUUAGUAGGAAUCUUGAUAUGACCCAAGGUGUUUGGGUCAGUUUAUUGGGUGGAGUUGGGAAGGUAGAGCUAGUAGGUCUAAACCUAAACCAAAGAAUCUGUCCUGAUAAGGGAAAGGCUAAAAAAGAAAGGAAGGAUAACAAUUGCAGAUGUGUUCAUACCUAAGGAGGGAGCAGGCUAAAUAUUUAUAUAUCAAGAUCUGCUUGGCUGCUUUAAUACACUUGACCAGACUCCUGCUUUCCUAAUCAACCCUGCUUCCUGGUGAUAUUAAGUUAUAAAUACAUAAAAGAGCCAUUGAAUAAAUGCACAUCAUGAAAGAGCUUUCUAAUCCUAGAUGAUCAGCAGGAUCAUUUGGGGACCUUUAAAAAUGCAGAUACCGGGCCUCAGACUUCCUGAACCAUAAUUUCUGAUGGUGUGCCCUGGAAAUCUGUGUUUUCAUAAAACUCCAUUGAUUCUAAUGAUCUAAUGAUUUGUGAGGCACUGUGGCUUGUGAUGUGGUUAGUGUUCUAGAAACAAAAGUUGGAUUGGAGAUUACUAGUAUGUCACCAAGGGAGGCAAAGCUAGGGCAGUGGUUCCCAGAUUUUGGUCUUUAUGGACAAUACAACUUUUAAAGAAAUGGGGCUCGUCACCUUGGAUAGCUGACUUUCUAGUAGAACAGACCAGCCAACCAACCAAUGACCCUUAUCGUUCCAUUAAAAACAUUAAAUUUUAAAAGGAUUGGAGCGGGAUAUAGUAUGAGAAAAAAGUGCAGUCUUUUAGAGUGAAUGAACUGAGUCACUUUUCUCAUUUCAUCAAGGACUGGUGACAAUGUCCUCACAUUGUGGCAUCAUUUGGUAUAUCAGCAUUUGAGAACCAACAGUAUAAGAAAUGUUUCAGUUCCCUAUGAUCUCUGGUAACAUGUUGCUGCAUUGCUAUGCAGGGUCAAGUGGUUCAUGGUUGUUUUAAGGACUCUAGAUCUGACAGUGGUGGAGGAGAAGGCUCUGAAAAGAGAAUAUGGAUGGUAUGGUGGGGGACACAGGGGUACCUUGGAUGAUAAAGGAUCUGUGAGUAAUUGUUUGUGGAAGCUGAUUGUUCAGCAGUAGAAGAAAAACUUGUGUGGACCUGAAAGCUAUAUUAAAAUGUAUGAAGGGCUUUGGUGUAUAAUAACCAUUGUUAUGCUAAAGGGCAGCCCUAGACCUAUGUGAGGAAAUCACUGGCAGACCCAUUUCAGUUUAAUGUAAUCAAAAGCUUUCUGACAACCAGACCUUUCCAAUAAAGGUGAACCAACUACAUGGAGAUGAGAUUGCCCAUUCUGGAAGAACUCAAAACAUAUCUGAAUAACAAGGAAUGUGUAUGAAAGCGUUCUCAUCCUAGUUGGAGGCUGGGUUAAAAUCACUAUUUUCUAAACCUGGCAGGUCUCCAUAAUACCUUGGAAGCCCUUUAAACAAAUACAGAUUCCUGGAUCUCAGAUCUAUAGCAACAGAAACUUUAUGAAAUGGGUUCAUGAAUCUUCAUGUUUAAAAGGCCACUCAGAAAAUUCUGAGUUAAAUUGCCUACAGCCUUAGAAAACAAUCAGAUGAAGUGAACACCAGAGUCUUAGCAUUUUGUUAUGGCAUCAAUAUUUGAAUAUACACUUAAUAUCACAUACUUUAUUAUUGGCUACUUAAAAGUUUUGUCUGAAACAACUAGUUAUCUGAACAUCAGUGCAAACUGAGAACACUGACCUGUUUUUAAAACAAGAUUUGCUUUGAGCUUCCAAGAGGAAUUAGCCUCACAUGAGGAAAAUAAGUCAUGAACCUAAUUAUGAAAUAUAGAUAUGUAAACUUUCCAAACAGAUACUGUGUUUGUGCCAAAAUUUUUAUUUACAAGAUCAGUGACUUAUUUCCAGUCUCAAAUCUCAUGUUAGCUUAAAAUGGCAUUAAAUAUAUGUUUAUUUCUAUGAAAGAGGAUUUUCAUUGGACAUUUUUUUUAAAUAUUUUUUUAUUUUCAUGAAUAUUUCAUUCUGCUAUAGAUUGAGUCUUAGUAGAAUUAUCAGGCCCAAAGUUCUUCUUACUUGUUUUUAGAGUCUGCACUUCUGAUCUGGAUUGUUGUCUUUGUUGAGUUUCUAUCCCAAGCUUCUCCAUAUAGAUUAUCGAAAAGGCUUUCAAAUGUUGACAGGAGGCUAGGUCCUGAAUUAUAGGCAUAAGAAACUAGACAGAGGCCAUUAAUCAAUUGGAUAUAUAAACAUUGCUCAAAAGUUUUUGAAGGUCUAAUCCCUGAGAUAUCGUUUUCCUAAUAUCUUUUGAAUCUUUCAAUCCUUUAGAAAUAUAUUCUCAUAGACACAUGUACCUUUUCUUCUUUUAGCAUCUAGGCUCUAUUUGCAUAUUGUUCAUUUAUGUGUUCAACAAAAGUCUAGUGGAAGCUAACAAUUUACUCCGGGCACAACGUUGGAUAUAACAAGAUUCCUGUUCUCAUGAUGCUGUGUUAUGAUAAGGACAAAGAGAUAAACUUGCAGAAAAAUACAUAAAAAGUUUAUCUAGUGACAAGUGCUAUAAAGAAACUUAAAUUGGAUCAGAGAAUUUUGGGGGUCCCUUCUCUAGAUGGAGUAGUUUGGAAAUGGGAGUGAUAUUUGCGGUGACUUGGUCACUGUGAACAGCUGUGAGAGAAGAGCUCUAGGGAGAGAGAAUAGCCAGUGCAAAGGCACUGAGGCCAUAAUAAAAAGGGGACUUGAGAUGCAAGUGUAGCACUAUUUAAUGAAAACUUGGAUAGUACAAAAGAAGUUUACAAAGAAGACAAGGGCCAGAGAAGGCAAGAUCUCACAGGUUAUGGUAGGAAUUUGAAUUUAUUGCCUGAGAGUUUCUAAUCAGAGAUUGAUAUACUUUCAUAUUUUACAAAGGUAACUCAGGGUCUGUGUAGAGAAUGGACCACAGUCAGGUUAAUAGUGAAAUGAGGAAGACUAGCUCGAAGGCUGUUGUGUUAGUUCAGUCUAAAGGUGAUGACUGCUUUGGGGCGCCUGGGUGGCUCAGUCGGUUGGGCGGCCGACUUCAGCUCAGGUCAUGAUCUCGCGGUCCGUGAGGGCUGUGAGUUCGAGCCCCGCGUCGGGCUCUGUGCUGACAGCUCGGAGCCUGGAGCCUGUUUCGGAUUCUGUGUCUCCCUCUCUCUGACCCUCCCCCGUUCAUGCUCUGUCUCUCUCUGUCUCAAAAAUAAAUAAAUGUUAAAAAAAAAAUAAAAAAAUAAAGGUGAUGACUGCUUGUUAAAGCUUUCAACUGAGGGGUUGUAUAUGAAAAUCACAUAUAUACCCUUUUCAACAGACAUUCUCAGUCAAGAAGGGCACGUAUAUGACUUUUACAACCUGAUUGAACCUGAACUUGUAUCUUUCAGGCUGAUGAUCAUAUGUCCAGCACUAUCGCUAGUUUCAUUUCUCAGCUUUUAGCCUACUACCAUCUUCAGUUGAGACUCACUAUGUUAGAUGACUGGGCAGGACAGUUUGGUGUUUAUCAAGGCAAAUGGCAUCCAUCCCAGUAAAAAUCCAGAGACCAAUCUUCAGUUGUUUCUGCCAUUUCCUUUCUUCUUUCCACAGGUUUCUCUUUCUCAGUUUCUACCACUUAAUUUUCUGUUCCCAAAGGAACACAGGCUCCUACUUCUCCCCUAGUAAGCUGUCUACUCUAUGAGACACAAGGAUGUUAAUGUUUAUGCUGUUGUUUUGAAGGAUUUACUUUUUGUAUGUAGAGGAAUACAGAGAUGAAUACAAAUAAAAAUAUAGAAAACUCCUUAGUUUAUUCUACUAAAAGAAGGGAAAAAGAGGAAGUUACCUUUCCUUUUUGUUAAAUCUUAAGUACAGCUGGAGGGAAUGCAACGUGUUUUGAACACGUUUGUUUUGGAAGGGAAAUUAUAUUGACAUGGCUGUUGAUAAUAUAAUAAAAUAAUAAUAUAAUGUAAUAUAAUAUAAUAUAGAAUAUAAUAUAAUAUAAUAUUAUAUAUAUAAUAUAAAAUCUAACAUUUCUUAAGCUAUGUGUCAAGCAAUGUUGCAGGUAUUUUCUUGGAUUAAUUCUCCUAUAGUUAUUCCUCUUCAGAGAUGAGGAAACUAAGGUGCAGAACUAGUAAGUGAUUGGCUCAGUGUCCCAGAGAGUGAGGGGCUAACCCAGGAUUUACAGCCAGGUUUUUCUACUCUCUAGGUUAUGCUUCCUCUCCAGGUGAGAAGAUGUGGC